UCCAGACUCCUACGGGAGGCAGCAGUGGGGAAUAUUGCACAAUGGGGGAAACCCUGAUGCAGCGACGCCGCGUGAGUGAAGAAGUAUUUCGGUAUGUAAAGCUCUAUCAGCAGGGAAGAUAAUGACGGUACCUGAGUAAGAAGCCCCGGCUAACUACGUGCCAGCAGCCGCGGUAAUACGUAGGGGGCAAGCGUUAUCCGGAUUUACUGGGUGUAAAGGGAGCGUAGACGGCAUGGCAAGUCUGAAGUGAAAGCCCGGGGCUCAACCGCGGGACUGCUUUGGAAACUGUUAAGCUGGAGUGCAGGAGAGGUAAGUGGAAUUCCUAGUGUAGCGGUGAAAUGCGUAGAUAUUAGGAGGAACACCAGUGGCGAAGGCGGCUUACCGGACUGUAACUGACGUUGAGGCUCGAAAGCGUGGGGAGCAAACAGGAUUAGAUACCCUGGUA
rnacentral:rRNA from 1 species